UAAGCACAAGUGGAGUAAGCUCACAUUGCUCACCGAGAGCUGGCCGACCUCAGGUGGAGAUCACGGACAAAGGGCCUUAAAUGCGGAACGAGAAUGUGAUAGCAAGAAGCCACUCCUUAGCAGACUCCUGGCAUCGAGCCAUGAAUCCAGGCCCACAUAUUCUGCCCACUGGCUACUGGGUUAUUCCGUAAAGCUGGAGAUGUAGUGUGGCUACUGGAGCUCCUUCACAGAGAGAAGCUGGACAUUUAAAUGGAGACCAAGAGCCAACACUCAACAAUGGAGGGUCACCCAACAAUGGAGAGGAAGCAGAUGUUGGAGGAAACACAGGGAGUCCAGCACAAAGAUACCUAUGCUUGACCAGCUUUUAGUUCACAGGUAAGCAUCUUUUCCGCUUAACUUAUAAAAUGUCUCAAUCACAUUCUACUCAAACUCUAACACUUUUUUAAACUGUUCUUUAUUCCAGCAUCUGGAAUUGAAAGCUUAACUCAUUUACCUUCUUUCUUGCCCAGGAUGAAUGCCUAUCUAGAAAUACUGGAGUUUCAGGGGCCAUCUGUCUAAAAUGCAGUAAGAAUUUAUCAAAGUCUCCACCCACCUCAUGACGAGGGCUGGAGGACAGCAGUGGACAAGGGUGAGAAAUCACAAGACCUGAGUUCUAGCCCCACCACCUACUGGUUCUUGCACCUCAUGUAAUUUCUCCUGCCAGAGUCUCCAGUUCCUUAGCUAUGAACCGGAACACCUAUAAUACACCAACUCACCUCACGAGCUUGUGGGAUCAAAUGAAGCGGAGCCUGUUGCAAACUGUAAAGUUCUAUGUGAUUGUUUUUACUAUCCCAACCACAAUCUAUGGCCAGGCAGCUCUUCAUAUAGGAGACAGAUUUCUUCCCCUUGGCAAUAAUUGUAAGUAAUAUAUUCCAGGAUGUUUUGCAUUUUCCUGUGCUUAAAA